UUCUUAGCAAAGUAAUUUUACUUCUGCGCAGACGGGUGCCUCCUUGGCCAGUCGCCAUGAGAGCACACCUGAACAAAGGGCAAGAGAGCCUUUAAUUCUGACGCAAAUCCUGCCCCUGUACUCUUUCCCCAUUGGCCGGGGUCCGGUCGUACAAUCUAAACGAAUCCCGGUUGGCUAAACAUUUGAAUUUUUUUACAUAAGGUGGGCACGUAAAAGAAAUUGGAGAGGGCGGGGAAGGGGUGUCUGUCAUGAGCUAGAAAGUUAGUCUUCUUUCCAAAUAAGGAAAGGAAUGUGAGCUGGUACUGAUAACCCCUGGUACUGUGGUGUGCCUGGGCAUCUAACAAAGGCAAAAAGGAGAAAAAGGGGUACUAUGAAUUAAAGAAUAAAAGAUGGAUCAGAUUAUUUGAAGAGAAACCUCAUCAUAUCCCACAACGGGAACAGGAAAAAAAAAACACACAAUACAUUUUAGAGAAGUGGCAAGACAAAGGAAAGCAGGUUUAGGCUCCCAAAGGAGGGACCUCUGAGAAGUUACCUCCACGAAGCAGCUCGGCUGGUGCCAGAGAGAACAUCGGUACAGGUCUGGGAAUUUCCCUGGGAGCUGGCCCCAAGCCACAGCCCUCCCCAGCUCCGUAGUUUGUUUGUUCUUCCUCUCCUGGGCUCAAUCAUCUGGACAAGCCUCACUGCAGGGAAAACCCCUGGGGAGACACAGGGCUGCUUUCCCAGCAGAAGGUCAGUGUCUGAAGAGAAACUGGGGGUCCCCCAG
rnacentral:lncRNA from 1 species